CCCUUAGAUGUUCGGGGCCGCACGCGCGCUACACUGAUGCACUCAACGAGUUUACGACCUUGCCCGAUAGGGUUGGGUAAUCUUUUUAAAAUGCAUCGUGAUGGGGAUAGAUUAUUGCAAUUAUUAAUCUUCAACGAGGAAUUCCUAGUAAGCGCGAGUCAUCAGCUCGUGCUGAUUACGUCCCUGCCCUUUGUACACACCGCCCGUCGCUCCUACCGAUUGAGUGCUCAGGUGAAUAAUUCGGACUGCAGCAAUGUUUGGAUCCCGAACGUUGCAGCGGAAAGUUUAGUGAACCUUAUCACUUAGAGGAAGGAGAAGUCGUAACA
rnacentral:rRNA from 1 species